CGCAUCCCAAAAUGCUGGGAUUACAUGUGUGAGCCACCACGCCUAGCCUAGUGUUUGCCUUUUUCAGCAGUUUGAACAGUGGCCGCUGUGAGCAGUUGAGAGACGGCUGCUGGGAUUGGCUGGGGCUUGGCUACGUGUUCCAGGAGCAGGUGGCGUCCUGUGGACACAUCCAGGUGAACCUGAGAUGCUUCCAGGGGCAGGAGAUGUUGGUGGCCUGUGGCCUGAGCAGGAUGUGUCUUCCCUGAAUGACAGGCCUAUGAUCCCAUUAACAUAGAAGCAGAAAAUAAAAAAUUAAGACACUU
rnacentral:lncRNA from 10 species